ensembl:misc_RNA 7SK 7SK RNA
UGGUAUGAGAGCAAUUUGGUUGCAACACAUCACCCUAUUGGUCACCAGGGUUGACUAAUCUGAUCUGGCUGGCUAGGCAAGUAUCCCCUCCCUCAUCAUUCCAUGUGUAUUCUUCCCAAAGCUGCAUUGCUCAGUGGAAGAGGAUGACUAUCUUCAAUAGAGGACUGUUUUCUUGUUCAAAGGUAUAUGAGUAGAUACACUACCCUGCUAGAACCUCCAAACAAGCUCUCAAGAAAGAAAAAGAGAGAGGGAAGGAAAGAGGGAAACACAGAGG